CCGUGAUGCCUCGACGGCGGCGCCGACGCGGCGACCUCGCCGUCGCGGCGACGCUGGCGGCGCUGGCGACGGUGGCCCUGGCGGCCGUGGGAGCGGCCGGAGGCGACGGCGGCGCGGAGUUUGAUUACCGGAAGCUGUCGGGGAUAAUCAUCCCGGGGUUCGCGUCGACGCAGCUGCGCGCGUGGUCGGUUCUGGAUUGUCCCUACUCGCCUUUCGACUUCAACCCGCUCGACUCCGUCUGGCUCGACACCGCCAAGCUUUUCUCUGCUGUAAAUUGCUGGCUUAAGUGCAUGCUGCUUGAACCCUAUAAUCAGACAGACCAUCCGGAAUGCAAGUCAAGACCUGAUAGUGGUCUUUCUGCAAUUACGGAGUUGGACCCUGGUUAUAUAACAGGUUUCAGGUCCUCUCUCUUCAGUAUGGAAAGAAUGGGUCAAAUGGUGUGUAGAGUUUGGCAUUGAAGCUAAUGCAAUUAUCGCUGUUCCUUAUGAUUGGAGAUUGCCACCAUCAAUGCUUGAGGAGAGAGAUCUGUACUUUCACAAAUUAAAGUUUGUAACACUUGCCUCAACUUGCUAUGAAGCAACCAAAUUCCUCACUGCUGAUAGUGUCUAGAUCUUUAGGUGUUUUGAAAGUGUAUAAUUAGAUUACAGUAAUUAAUAUUGUUUUAUUACCUUGUAUUUUUUUCUUCUUCUAGCUUUGAUGUGAUCACUUCUGAACUAAAUCUAAAUACAUGAUAUCAUACUUUCUUUAUUGGCGUUAUCAAUUUUAAAAGGUCUCAAACCAACCUCUGACUUAGUUGUUGUUGGUACAAGUAAUAUAAAGGUGUGCUGCAUUUCAUGUGUUUGCAAUCUCUGUGACCAAUUGCUAAACGAUUAGCUUUGUUUUGUGUUUUUUUUUUGCCAUAUCUUGUUCUUAGUUUUAUUAAAGCAAAUAUGAUCUUCCGAAACAAUGGAGAAGAACUCAUGCUGAGCAUAGAUGUACGGUGUCGGGGGAAUUCAUUGUUGCAAGAGGAUAGAACGGAGUAUGUGAUCCUCAUACAUUCCUUUUGAUGCAGGUUAACUUUUGAGAUUGCUUUGAAACUCCGAGGAGGUCCAUCUUUGGUAUUUGCUCAUUCGAUGGGAAAUAAUGUGUUCCGCUACUUUUUGGAGUGGUUGAAACUAGAAAUUGCUCCCAAGCACUAUAUCAAGUGGCUUGACGAACAUAUACAUGCAUAUUUUGCAGUUGGUGCUCCUCUUCUCGGCUCUACUGAAGCAGUUAGAGGUGCUCUUUCUGGAACAACUUUUGGUCUUCCAGUCAGUGAGGUCAGUCAUCCUCCGAAAUUUAGUUUCAUUUUAUUGUUAUAAUUUGUUAAUUACCCAUCAUUGAAUUCCUGUUCUGUUACCACAGGUUUAACAUAUUUUUUUCUUCUGCAACAUAGUAUUGACUUUAUGGUUUUACAGCUGACUCUUCUGUUUCUUAAUACCCAAUAGGUUUAUUUCUGACUUUCCAUAAACAUAACUGUGUAAGCUUGAAACUUUCAACUUUAAGUUUACUGGCCCAUGCACUUAAUAUUGCAGCAACAAAUUUCCUUCCUGUUCUUCUUCCCUGCAUCAGCUGCUCAUAGUCUAAAAGUACACUCCUAGAUGUUCACGUGAAGUAUAUGUAUAUUAUUUGUUACCUACUUACCUUUCAUCAUUCCACUUAAUGUUUCACUAGACAGAGUAAGAGUCCAAUUGUGUUCAGAGUUAAUUACCACAAUUGUCCACUUAGCUUGCCGCAGUUCUUGUUGCAAGGUCUCUAUUUUCACAUUUUUAUAAUUUUUAUACAUUGUUUUCAGGGUACAGCACGAUUGAUGUUUAAUGCAUUUGGUUCAUCUUUAUGGCUUAUGCCAUUCUCAAAAUAUUGCAAAGCUGAUAAUAUUUACUGGAAGCAUUUUUUUGAGGGAAAGGGAGGUUCUCCCCACAGACAGCAAUGCGAUGAAGCUGAAUAUAUUUCAGACUACUCUGGAUGGCCUACAGACCUCGUCAAUAUUGAGGUUCCUUCAGGGCGAGAUAUGGGGGCAUACCCAUCCAUUACGGACAUAACGGAGGACAUAACAUCCAGCAUGGAGUGCGGAAAGCCAACUCUCCUGUCAUUUUCUGCCAGAGAAGUUUCAGAUGGCACCUUGUUCAAAACAAUAGAGGAUUAUGACCCUCAAAGCAAGGCACUUGUUUAUCAGCUUGAGAAGUACUAUCAGGGUGAUCCAGUUCUGAAUCCUCUCACACCCUGGGAAAGACCUCCAAUUAAGAAUGUAUUUUGCAUUUAUGGGAUUGAUUCAAAGACUGAGGUAGGAUAUUACUUUGCACCAAGUGGCAAACCAUAUCCAGACAACUGGAUAAUAACGGAUAUUAUUUAUGAGUUUGAAGGGUCCCUAAUUUCAAGGCAGGUUUCAUGUAACUUGAUUUUGAGAAGUCUUUAGUAUCAUUUUAGUCUCAUAUCCAUCAUGUUUCUGUCAAUGGCUGAUUCUGCAUGGUAAAUUUGCUCAAGAUAUCCAGUUGUAACUUGUUUCAUCUAGAGUAUCCAAAUGGUUCUUCUAUACAUUUAUUAAUUAUGAAGAUAAAUUGAACAUUUAGUCAGGCUAUUGCUACUUUGAGAAAAAUGGAUUUUCAUUACUCACUAGUCGGUAUCACAAAGUUUCCGUAUUUAACUUUAGUCCAGAGUGAGGGAUCAAAGAGACAUUAGAUGGCUCAUGAUAUAACAAAAACAUUGUUGUUUUUCUUUGAAACAGAGGGAUUUAGUAGUUUUUUAGACGAUAUUUUCAUAGCUUUUGUUUUCUAGAUAGCACCCACAAUUCUUAUUUUUGUUUUAUCACAACAUUCAUGGCACUAAUUUUGAUCUACAUAGAUAUUUAGUUAUGAGAAAUUGUUCUUACCAGAUCAGGUAAUUCUGUUUCUGGAAAGCCUAACAAUUCCAGUGGUGAUGGAACGGUAUGUAUUGCCAAAUAAAACUCUUAAUUCCUGUCAACCUAAACCAGUUAAUUAAGCAAAUGAAUAGCUGUUUCAUGGCAGGUAUCCUACAACUCCCUCUCAUGGUGCAAGAAUUGGCUUGGACCAAAAGUGAACAUAACAAGGGCUCCACAGGCAGAACAUGAUGGAUCUGAUUUGCAAACAAUUAUGAAUGUUCAUCGCCAUCAUGGCCAGGACAUACUACCAAAUAUGACGAGGGCUCCGCAUGUGAAGUACAUAACCUAUUAUGAGGAUGCAGAAAAUCUUCCAGGAUGGAGAACAGCGGUCUGGGAGCUCGAUAAAGCAAAUCACAGGAAUAUUGUUAGGAUGCCAGUACUAAUGCGUGAGCUGUGGCUUGAAAUGUGGCAUGACAUGCAUCCUGAUUCAAAAUCAAAAUUUGUGACAAAAGCUUUCCGAGGUCCACUGAGAAACGAAGACUGCCGCUGGGACUACGGAAAGGCUCGGUGUGGCUUUCCAGAACACUGCGAAUACAGGUAUAUAUUUGGUGAUGUGCAUCUGGGAAUGAGCUGCAGACUCAAAAAUACAUCAACUAACCUCCUUCAACAGUAUCUCUGAAGUGUUUUGGGCCAAGCAUUAUUGUGGUUUGCUGGCUGCAUGGGAAUGAUAUUUGAUUUUCCCAUUCUGUUUUGCGAAUGAAAAUACUCGGCAAGGUAGAAACCAGGAUCAAUUAGAGCCUAGCAAAACAGGUCAAUUAUUGCUGUUGUGAUGGUCUUGGUACACGUAAUCUUUGAAGCAGACAAAUGCAAGCUGAAACCACACGUUUGCCUAACUAAUUUUGGUUGAAGAUGGAAGUCGUCCUUCUGAGGAGUGUAUAGUUUUGUUCUUGUUUUUCAGCCCAUGUAGAAGCCAUUUGUAGCACCAGUACUUUCGGCUUCCUGGAGGUGCCAUGAGAUCACACUGGUGUGUAUUGUAAAACACGUAUUUGUCUAUCUGGGAAAUCAAGCAGUUGCGAAUUGACUCUUACAAGGAAGGCGCUCUAGAUGCGCAGUCAGGAGAAAAAAAAUUUAGUGAUCAAUCAACCCUAUCCUCC